GAAACGGGUGGUCCCUCGAAUUCCGGGCAGGCGGAAUUCAGUCCCGAGUCCAAAGUUCGGUCUCGGCCUUCAUGGCGUGGCGAGAUCCCCUCGGGGAUAGAUCCCGCAAGUCGGCACUGUGUCGGAUGGACGGAGGAUGCAAUUUCUGCCGGCCCGUUGACGCCGCAGCCGAUUCGGUGGUCUUGAAGUCCGCUUCGGCGCGUCGGUGUCAGUAGCGCGGUUCGGCCAAGGGCAUGUCCGGAGGGCCUUGAGGAAAUGCCUGGCACUCGCAGGGGUCCGACGGUCGUCCGUUGCGGGGCACUGGCGCGUCGAACGGACACCGGAUCGUCCGAGAAGGGUUCGGAGUAGAAAGGGGGUCCGUUAAGGGCCCCCAGUGGCCGUGGCGAAUACCCGAGUCUCGUUAAUAAUUGAGACACUAUGCGACCUUCGGGUUGGGAAGUGUCAGGUGGAGGGACUCCGGCGUUGUGUCCUUGGGCACGCCCGACGCGCGUGUCCUGGACGAGCCAGCUCCGCUCCGGUACGAGACCUCCACCACAGACCAGGGUGUUCUCACGGCUGGCGGCGAGUAGGUCGGUCCACCACCCGACCCGUCUUGAAACACGGACCAAGGAGUCUAACGUGUGCGCGAGUCAGUGGGACUUGACUAUGCCCACGGGCGCAACGAAAGCGAAUGCGUGAAGGUCGCGAUCCCCGGAUGAGAGAGCCGGCGGAGCAGCGACGGCCCGCCCCCCCACGAGUGGGGAGGUGGAGUCUGAGCGCACAGGUUGGUACCCGAAAGAUGGUGAACUACACUUAAGCCUGGUCGAAGACAGGGGAAACCCUGAUGGAAGGCCGUCGGGGUUCUGACGUGCAAAUCGAUCCCUUGAUUCGGGCUUAUG
rnacentral:rRNA from 1 species